GUUGGGUGUAGUGGUGUCCACCUGUAAUCCAAACUACCUGGGAGGCUGAGGCACAAGGAUCACAAGUUCCAGGCCAGUGUUAGCAACUUAGUGAGACCCUAUCUCAC
rnacentral:sRNA from 1 species